rnacentral:rRNA from 1 species
UACGUAGGGUGCAAGCGUUGUCCGGAAUUAUUGGGCGUAAAGAGCUCGUAGGCGGCUUGUCGCGUCGGCUGUGAAAACUCGGGGCUCAACCCCGGGCCUGCAGUCGAUACGGGCAGGCUAGAGUCCGGCAGGGGAGACUGGAAUUCCUGGUGUAGCGGUGAAAUGCGCAGAUAUCAGGAGGAACACCGGUGGCGAAGGCGGGUCUCUGGGCCGGUACUGACGCUGAGACGCGAAAGCGUGGGGAGCGAACAGG